GGCAAAUAUAAAAUUCUACAGAAAAAAAAUCUGCAGGGAUAUUUUUUUGUUUUUUAAACAAGAGACACAAAAAGGAAAGGAAGAAAAAAAAAAUCAGAUUAAGAAUUACCGAAGAAAACACAAGACAUAAAGAAACAAGAAAAUUGAUGAACAAGUCACAAAACGAAAUUGUACGAUGAACAAAUAACACAAAGAAAACACAAAAUGAUAGACAGAACCUGAUUUAGAGCGAACGCUCGGAUACCACAUUUGAUACAAACCUCAAAAACGAUGUCUUGAACAGGCUUGGUUUAUAAUCCCAAGAAAGCC
rnacentral:misc_RNA from 1 species